GUUAAAGUAGCUUAUUUAAAGUAAUAUCCUGAAGAGAUAUAGAUAGGGCAAGCCCUCGUUAGCA
rnacentral:tRNA from 1 species